CUAGCCUCUCUCUCUCUCUCUCUUUUUAUUUUUUUUGGAUGCAGUGAUGAACAAGUAAUUCUAGUCUCUGUUUCUGAUUCUCCUCUUACAAUCGGUCUAUCCUCUCCAUUUUCCCCCUGUGAAGUCAUUAUUUAAAAGAUUCUUUACUGCCUUAGAAAUAGAAUAUUCUUCUUUUCCGAUUAGAAGUGAAGAAGUUUUAGUUUAGAAGUUAUUGUUUCUUUUGUUCAGGGGAUUCUUCUAUGGAUACUCAUUUAUUACAGUUCUCAUGAUUCUCAACCAGGCACUAAGUGGCCUUGCUGUAUCUAUGGUAAUGAAGUAUGCUGACAAUAUUGUGAAGGUGUAUUCUACUUCAGUGGCAAU